ensembl:lncRNA
GUUACUUUGAUGCCACAAAUCAAUAAGAGGCAUUGUUCGGCUAAGUAUGACAGAUAAAUGUGGAGGAAAAAAAAUGCUGUUUCCCAAUCUUAAAAGAAAUCACCAUCACGAGGCAUCCUCAGAACAAAGCAAGACUGAGAAACAAAUGCCCAUUUCUAUCUUCACAUAUAAUUUGCUGGGGGAUUUUUGCAGAAACUAAGGCCUGUUGCUGGUGAUUUGUUAUCAUCAGAGUCUUUUCCAAUGAGUCAACUCUUCGCAUGAGGUGGCCAAAGAAAUAGAAGAAAGCAACAGAAUGGGAAAGACCAGAGAUCUCUUCAAGAAAAUUAGAGAUACCAAGGGAACAUUUCAUGCAAAGAUGGGCUCGAUAAAGGACAGAAAUGGUAUGGACCUAACAGAAGCAGAAGAUAUUAAGAAGAGGUGGCAAGAAUACACAGAAGAACUAUACAAAAAAGAUCUUCAUGACCAAGAUAAUCAUGAUGGUGUGAUCACUCACCUAGAGCCAGACAUCCUGGAAUGCAAAGUC